rnacentral:rRNA from 1 species
CGAUGAAGCCCAGCUUGCUGGGUGGAUUAGUGGCGAACGGGUGAGUAACACGUGAGUAACCUGCCCUUAACUCUGGGAUAAGCCUGGGAAACUGGGUCUAAUACCGGAUAGGAGCGCCUACCGCAUGGUGGGUGUUGGAAAGAUUUAUCGGUUUUGGAUGGACUCGCGGCCUAUCAGCUUGUUGGUGAGGUAAUGGCUCACCAAGGCGACGACGGGUAGCCGGCCUGAGAGGGUGACCGGCCACACUGGGACUGAGACACGGCCCAGACUCCUACGGGAGGCAGCAGUGGGGAAUAUUGCACAAUGGGCGCAAGCCUGAUGCAGCGACGCCGCGUGAGGGAUGACGGCCUUCGGGUUGUAAACCUCUUUCAGUAGGGAAGAAGCGAAAGUGACGGUACCUGCAGAAGAAGCACCGGCUAACUACGUGCCAGCAGCCGCGGUAAUACGUAGGGUGCGAGCGUUAUCCGGAAUUAUUGGGCGUAAAGAGCUCGUAGGCGGUUUGUCGCGUCUGUCGUGAAAGUCCGGGGCUUAACCCCGGAUCUGCGGUGGGUACGGGCAGACUAGAGUGCAGUAGGGGAGACUGGAAUUCCUGGUGUAGCGGUGGAAUGCGCAGAUAUCAGGAGGAACACCGAUGGCGAAGGCAGGUCUCUGGGCUGUAACUGACGCUGAGGAGCGAAAGCAUGGGGAGCGAACAGGAUUAGAUACCCUGGUAGUCCAUGCCGUAAACGUUGGGCACUAGGUGUGGGGACCAUUCCACGGUUUCCGCGCCGCAGCUAACGCAUUAAGUGCCCCGCCUGGGGAGUACGGCCGC